rnacentral:lncRNA from 1 species
UCAAAGUGACAGAAGUAACACACAGAACAUUCGGUGGUACAGCACAGUGGGUAAGGUUUCAUGUCAUAUUUAAAUGGCUCCUCAUAUUUCACUAGGAUUAAUUUUGCCCCUACAAACAUAUUUGGCUACAAGUUAAGACAGAGUUCCAGAUGCUGAUAAAGUUGAGACAUAAGUAAUGAAUGAGUUUAGAAACAUGCACAACUCUUGUGUGAAACACAAUGAGAGUGGAAAAUAGCUAAGUUGAAAAAUGGCCAAAUACUAUUUUGUAGUUCCCCCUACCACUUAAGUAAUUUUUGUCAUCCUUUGUGAAUGGAAAAUCCAGUCCCUUCAGUAAUUCCGUUAUAUUCAUGACUUGGUGAAGCAUAUAACCAUUAGUGUCUUGCCUUAAGUCGACCUUUAAUGAUGAUCCAUUGAGAUGGGUCUGACUUUUGUCAACCCUCUUAUUCCCUUGAUCAUAGAGGUUAAACUUAGGGGGCUUAACCCACUUUUGAACCUUAUUGGAUAUAUGGCACAUGGUAUCCUCUUCAUCUUGAAAGAGUGAAGUGGUCAUACUCUUUCCUCUGAGUCCAUUGUGGCCAUGCACUUCUGGCCCAUUGGGCUGAGUGAAAGGAUUCCCUUCUGCUUCAAAUCAUAGAGAGAUAUGCCAUGGUCAGCCUCUUUAAUUCAAGGGAUCGAAGUACUCAAAUCCAUUUCUCUGCAUCCAUCUUAAUUCUGCAUUCAUGUCUCAUGGUUAACCAAGAAGAUCCAGCUUCCAUCCAUGAGAUCAGCAUCUGCAGGUUUAUGACACCACCCUUCCUUGGCAUAGGAAAGGGAUCAUUAAGCCAUGUGUUGGAUGACAGAAGUCAUCAUUCAGGUUAUCUUGAGAACUAAGGAAGUUGGAAUUCUAAUUAUUGCAUAUGGUUCUUGAUGUUUAGCCAAUAUACCGUAGGAUUUUAAGGAUCAUGCUCAUGUGCAUUGUGGUUGUUUAUCAGCUAUAUGGUUUACCAAAAUGAGGGACUGAUUAUGGUCAUAAGUACCUUUUUCCUAUUAAUUUCUUGCAUGUGCUCUGCUGAGAUUAUGUUUUUGACAGUCCAAAUCAGGGCAAACCAACAAACAGCUUUAUGUUAACUUUUACAAACUGCCACAUUUUCAGGUUAAACGAACAGAGAUAAAUCUUGGUGAAACUAGAAGUAAUACAACUUGUGCUGUGGAGAUAAAAGAAAGGGCAGCGGCACUGGUGGCUGCAGAAAUUGAGGCAUGUAGAGACGAUAGAACCCCCAAGAUACCUCUUCAUGAGAAAGUCCAGAAAGAGUGGGCUUGUGCUGUAUGCCAGGUCACAACCCAAAGUGAAGCGACCUUCAAUUCCCACCUUCAAGGGAAGAGACAUCAGGCCACUUCUGAGCAGCUGAGAGCCAAAAACCAGGCAACCAAAACCAAUUGUUCCCCAUCUGCUUCAAUGGCCAAGAAAUCUGAUCAGUCCACCAAAGAGGAGCAACCGAAGUGUACUUCCAACAAUCUGAAUUCCAAAAACAAUGGAAUCUCAGCUGCUUCAACAGUGAAGAAACCUGAUGACACCAAAGAUGAUGAGCGACAAAAGUCUGCAUCUAGCAAUGAACCGAACCAGAAGAAUAACAAAAAGCAAGAGGUACAGACCAAUGAGCAAGGCCAUCAGAAGAACUUAAAGCAAACUGGCGAUGGAAUGAAAGAGUUGAGAUUAUGCUGCAAUAUCUGUAAUGUAAGCUGCACAAGUGAGCUUGACAUGGCCUCUCAUCUCAAUGGAUGGAGGCACUUUAAUAUGAUAAAGGAGGCGUCUGAAUUAUGGUGCAGUAACUGCAAUGUAAGGUGCAACAGUGAGGCUGUCAUGGCCUCUCACCGAAAUGGGAGGAGGCACUUGAAGCAGCUGAAGGAACGGUCGGGAUUAUAGUGCAGUAUCUGUAGCGUGAGAUUGUGUUAGGAAGAGGUGGAAUGGGUUCCAAUCAGGAAUUAAGACUCGGUUCCAAGACAUGGAAAGUGUCUUUAGAUUAUGUUAUCUCCAUUUUUUUUAUUGUGAGAGGGGAGUAUAAGGAAUGAAAAUAAAUAUAUAUAUAUUUUUUAAUAGAGAUGAAUUUGAUAAUUUUAAUUAUUGUGUUUUGAUGUAUUUAGGAAUGUAAAAUUAAAAUAAUUAUUUAUUUUCAUUUUAGUAUUUGACAAUAAUAAAAUUAUGAAUUAAAAAAUAAUGUGAUAAUAAUACAUUUAUAUUUAAUUUAAAAUAUUUUUUAUUUUAUUUUAGAAGAAUAUGGGUUAAAUUCUUUUUUUAAAUAAUAAGCUUAAGAAAAAUAAUUUUUACUCAAUAAAUAAAAUUAAUCAUAAAAAGUCAUAACAACCUAAUAAAAAUAUAGGGGUAAAAUAAUAAUUUUAAAAUAUUAUUUAAGUUAUCCAAACAAAUUUGACUCUUCAUUCUCUCUCUUGAACCAAAUACGGUCUUUUAAGCGUUUGUCAACUUAUUUUUUUUUGCAAAAUAUCAAUAUUUUACUAAUAUUUUUAUCGAUUAUUUGCCAAUAUUUAUCGCCACGUCACCAAUUCUUUGAGUUUGACUUUCAAAAUUUUGAAAUGAUAUUUGAAGUCCAGUUCAGCCCAAAUCACUACACCCAUGAUUUUUCCCUUUUCUUUUUCUCCUUAAUUUUCACAUCACCCAACAACACUACUCUUAAUUCACACAAAUUUGAAGGUUUGGAACGAGACUUCUUCCUAAUUAUAUUGUAAUUAUGUUAUAAUAACCAUGUCGUAUUUGGAUUUAUUUAUUCAGUCCAUCUAAAUCUUUUGUUUAUUCAUGUAAAAAGAAUAUAGUUAUAAUCGAAUCCAUUUGUGACAUAUUCAUCUUUUAUAAAUUUAUUAAUUUUAUAUAUUUAAAAACUAUAAAAAUUAAAUAUAUUUUUUCAAUUAUGAAUAUCAUAUUACUAAAAUAUUAAAUAACUAAUUAACUUGAAAUGUUUUAUAUUUCAUUCAUUAUUUUAUAAUUACAACAUUAAGUGAAAUAAUAAAUAGGUUAAAAUAUAUAUUUUAUUUUAGUUAAAAAUUAUAAAUUGUUAUUGAGACGUAUAACUAUUAAAAUUCUACCCAUUUGACCAUCAAACAAACAACUUAAGUUUUUAGUCAUAAUUUAAGCUUCUGAUAAACUCUAUUUCCAUAAAUUAGAAACCGAAAUCAAUUUCUUCUUAGACUCAAAAACAUAAAGACAAUCUUUUAAUUCUAGAAGACAUCUAUCAUUUAAGAUAAGGGUAACAUAUCCCAUUGCCUAAACAACAACUCUUGCUUCAAAAGCCAAUGUCAAGUACAUAUCCCUAUCAUUCAACCUUUCCCUUAGCUAAAACCCCUAUAAAGAAUUAUAAACAUAAUCAAUGGCUCCAAAAUUUAUCCACCAAGAGUUAGUGGAAUCCAACACUAAACAUAAUUCAACUAUAAGAGAAUGAUGCAUAGUUGACUAUCUCUUCAAGAACUAAGGACAUUCCUUCUUCUUCUAAUGGCAUUUUUUACCACAAAGGAAACACUUGUCAUGACCCUUACUCUUCUUCUUCUUCCCCUUAGCCUUAAACUUCCCCUUCUGCUUGAUGAACUCUAUAGUGUUCUUCUUAUUUUGGCUAGAAAAACCUAAAGAACCCUUAACUGCCAUAUAAAUACCUCUCUGGUCCUUGAGAAUUCCCUCAGUCAUUUUGUGUUCUCUCAUUAGUUCAAUUGUAGUUUAAGAAAAAUAAUGUUUUUUAUUUUAUUUUAUGUGAUUGAACUUGGAAUGAAUUUCCAAGUUGCAUACAUACUUGGGUUGAGAUCAAGUCAUAACGUAGUUUAAGAAAAAGAUUUUUUAUUUUUUAUGUGAUUGAACUUGGAAUGAAUCUCUAAGCUACCUACGUAUCCAAGAUGGGAUCAAGUUCUAACAUAGUCACAAUGCAGUUCAAGAUUUUUUUUUUUCUUUUUUUGUGCUCUAACUUUUGUCAAGACUAAAGAUCUUAAUCUUGCAAGCAUGUCCUAACUUUUGUCUAGGUCACCUUUCCAAGUUUUCAACUUAGCAAACAUUUUUUUUUUUUGUUCUCUAACGUUUGCCAAGACAAAAGAUUUUAAUCUUGCAAGCAUGUCAUAACUUUUACCUAAGUCAGAUUUUUAGGUUUUCAAUGUGGUGGAUUUUUUUGUUUUUUAUUUUUUAUUUUUUAUUUUUUGUGUCGUAGGCAAUUUAGCUCAUACGGCCCAGAAGCGAUGUGUAGUUUGUUGGGAUUCAACCCUUAAAAGCAAAACAUGAUGUAACAAAGUUAGACUUAACUAUCCCCUUGCUAUCAUUUUGGUGUAUUAACAUUGAUUUAAACAUUCAACUCAUAUUUUACAUUGUACAUGACUUAGGUGCAUUAGGAGUUGCUCAUAAGAUACAUGGAUUCCUUGUAAGUAGAUGAGUUAUCCAUAGUCAGUUCAUGGAUUUGGGCAAUCUAGUAGAGACUGUAAUGCACCACCUCUUAAUUGAAGAGAUGACUUGUCUUGACAGUUGGGAUAGGUUUCCUAUGGUGAGUGCACUAGUAUAUAUGAUGCACAUUGGAUAGGACCUACGGUAAAUCAUGAGCAAAGCUAUCAAUUGUCAUGAUUCACCAAGUUACGAUACUGCAUGGACUCUCAAUCUUGAGAGGACAUUGAACCUGUGCCAAAAUCAACAAAAAGCUUUCACCUAUAGAUGAGACCUUAAAGUGAUCAUAUAUCCCUAUGGAUUGAGUCACUAUUGAUGAAGGUUGGUGGUAAUAGGUAUUCUCAAUAGAGGCACCAUGAUAUCUCAUGAGAUUGAGACGGUGUGUCCCCUUGGGUGAUACAAAGGACAUGUGAUCAUAAAAUCUGUGACCAUAGUAAUUCUUUUAUUGAAAUUUGACAUAUACCCCUUCGAGCUAGAGUAUGUCAGUUGAUUACAUAAUAAGUGGCAUCUAUAACUUAAGGAUUUGAGAGGUAAUCUUGAUAGGUGAUAGCACUACCUUGUUAGAUUAUGGACACCAGUUCAUGGGGAAUCUACAUGCAGUGGAUGAUAUGUCACGAACGCGAGCUUCAUAUCGUUGUUAUUAACAUAGGAUACUGGAGUGCAAUUGAUUCUCUUUAGUAGAAUGUUGAAUCAACUUCAAAAUGGAUUAUGAGGGAGCCAAUACUCCUAUGGGUCUUAAUGGUCCCCACUCUGAGCUCAUAUACCAUGAUGACACAGUUUAUGAGGGUUUGAUUGGCUUUAUGUUCAUUUUUGUGCAUAAGGGCAUUUUGGUAAUUACACAAGGUUACAUAGGGGAUAGUCAAUAAGGUCUUUAGAUUGGGCCAAUUGAUUAAUUAGAUGACCUUAUGUGGUUAAUUAAUCAAUUAUGAUAUGUUUAGGCUAGAUUAAAUGACCCAAGCCUUGAUGAAUUUAAGUCACUUAAGCCUAGCAGAUAACCUUAUAAAUACCCUCUUAUGGGUUAGGGUUUCCUAAUGACUUUCAGUUAAUCAUCUUCCAUCCCUAGAAAGAGAAAGAGAGCCAAAUCUUUCUCCCUUCCAUUGCCCACACUUUGGUAUGCCAAGAUCAUGGUUCAAGUCACUGGGAGGAAGAUCUUGGGUGUACAAGACCUUCGGACUCUUUAAGUUUCUUCUUCGUUGGAUGAAUUUUUAUUUGGGACACAUCUAGAUCAUAAGUAUGUGUUAGAAAAUUUGGCUAAUUCAACUUAAGGUAAUCACUCUAGAGGAGGGGUGAAUAGGGUGAUGAUCUUUUUUUACAAAUUUAAAUUAUGUGAAUGCAAGAGACAAUUAUACUAUGCAAAUAUAUAGUAAAACCAUAUAAAAAUAAUUGCAUAUAAAGUACAAGGGUAGAAAAUAGAGAAUAUAAACACAAGAUUUUUAUAGUGGUUUGGUGCAACUCGGCCUACAUCCAUUCUCCUCUAGCUUCAAUCCCAAGUUUGAGGUUCCACUAAUUCAAGGCUUCCAACCUAACCCUUCAAGCAAUACAAUUGGAUUAUGGUUCCAAUCAAACCUUUUGGACUUUUGGCUCUAAGCACCUUUUACAAUCUUUGAUUCGUGCCUAACUGGUGUUUGCCCUGUUGAUUGGUGUUCAAUCAACUGAUGUGCUUUGAUUUCAGUCCUCAGACGAGAGUAAUCAACAAAAUUUAUAAACCUAUUUCACCAUAUACUAGGGUAGCAUUAGCUAGCAUAGCAUAGUGGCUCUAGGAUCGUCCACAGGGAUGGGUUUUCAAAUUACAAUUGAUAUUAGUUCAAAAACUGAAUUGGUGUUUUUUCUUUUCAAGGUUAGCUUUAAAAGAAAACAUAAGUAUGUGUGAAAAGGUUGGUUUUAAGUGAAACCAAAAAUAAAGUAACUGAAAUUACUUACAAAGAAAAGUGCUUCUUGGAGUUUUAGAUCACUAGGCUCAAGUUCCUUAUACAAAAAGAGAGAUUCCGAUCACUUGGAUCUUUUCCUAGCAUUGGGGAUUUAACAUAUAGUUAUUUCCCGAACCGGUGCGGUACAGAUGCUUCCCCUUAAUGGUUUCAAACACUAAAUCUCUAUCACUGAAUCAUCUUGUAAUGGUUCAUACCUCUCACCUGGUAUUGGUCAUUUAAGGUGAUCAUUAACCUUGGAUUACCCGUCAAAAGCUCGCAAAAGAUAACUAAUGAAUGUCUCCUAGGAGUCCAAAAGCUUACCAAGUGUUGGCUAUUCUAGAUAAUCCUACCUUUAAACCAUCUCCCAAAAGCUCGCAAGAGAUAAACUAGUGGAUCUCAAUGGACGGAGUCCACUUGCCUUACCAAGUGUUGGCCCAAGUGAUUUUAAGGGAUUUUAAGUUAACUAAAAAGAUAAAAACCAUUAACGGGUCACACUUUCUCUUCAUUAAAACCUGAAACAAUGAAACUUCCACUUUUGUAUACGAAACCUUACCUAGCUUCCUUCACUCCAAGAAACAAAAAGCCUAGCCACUCAUCCUCUAGGAAAACAUCCUCAGAGUUUGAUUUGGUAGAAAUAAAAAUAAAAGAGAAAACCAAAUGUGAAGGUAAGGCCGAGCAGAGCUCUGUGUAUUACUUUAUGAAAAACUAUACAAAAUUUGUCUCUAAGAGAAACUCCCCCGAGAUCUCUUUUAAAAGAAAAUUACAAUAGAUAUCAUAUAAAGAGGCUAUUCACCCCUCUUGCUAACUUCCCAACCAUGAAAACUUGUCAAUGGUGGGUUACAAGGAGAAAAUAGGGAUUUACACACAAAUAUUUGAAGAUAAACAUCAAACUGAGUCGGUGCGCAAAUAUCUCAGAUUACAAGUGGAUUUCGCAAGUUCAAACGCAACUUGCAAAAAUUUUGCAAGUUGAAAUUAUGGUUUCGCAAGUUGCGAAAUUGUCCUGCAACUAAUCAGCUCUCUGUCCUACAACAAUUCCUUUCCUCUUCCUAUUUCGCAAGUUGUGAGAAUUUCGCAAGUUGGAUUCCACAACUUGCAAAAUUGUUGGAUGGUUGAUUUCUUUUGUGAUUUUCUUCCUUGCAUCCUCAUUUGGCUUUGGCAAAGGGUUAUGAAGCUCCAAAGCUUAGUUUCUUCAUGAAUUUGAGCUUCAACUUGCUUUGCCAUGAACUAUACAAAGAUCUCCCUCAUUCUUGGAUUGCUUUGGUGAUAAAAAAGCUAUGAAAAACACCAAAACUUAACACAAUUUGAUUAGAAACGAUUGUAAGGGUCUUUAACAUGCCAAUUGAGUUAAAAGGUAAUAGCUACUACUCAAAAGUGUUUAAAAGAGUUAAUUACAAGCUAUAAAAUGACCCUUUUUGAAGUUCAACCCCUUAAGUGAUACCCCUUAAGUGAUACCCCUUAAUUCAAGAGAUGUCUUACUCUUAAACAACCCCUUAAGUGAUACCCCAUACUUGAGAUUCCCUAAGUGAUGCCUCACACUUAGAUUUUUCAUCUCAAAGAUUUACAAAUGAAGAUAGGAAAUAAUCUCACAAAAUCUUAAUACAAAACAUUAGGCUCAAAUGAUACAAGAUAAACUAUGAUUGAAUGGUGCACUAAUAAUAUGCAAGUUUUAAAACAAUGAGUACUAAAAAACACUCUCCUAAGGUUCAAAUAUAUUCAAGAAAGAUUUAAGAAGGUUAAACUCUUGAAACAAUAAAGAUUGAAACCUUUUUAUGGAGGAGAAAUGCCAAACUAGUUGUUGGGGGUUUGUCCAGUCGAGUUCUGGUUUGACCGGUUCACUAACCGUUAGCAUUUAAUGCAUGAUAGGUGAUCAUUGGGCCUUGACCAUCCCUCGACCAGUACUCAACCGGAUAAAGUUCAACCUUAAUCAAUCGAAUAAGCAUUCUAGAAUAGAGAGAAGGUUUUUGCACCUUUCAAUCAGUUGAGUUGAACAAAUAGACGGAUUCCUUAUCCAGUUCAACCGGUUGAGCCAUUUUUGGCUCAACAAUCAUCAUUUUCAACUUAAAACCUUUUAAACAAGUUUAGAAAGCAUUUGACACAAGGAUUUAGUUGAAAACAUUAAAUCAUCCUAUUUUUAAAAGAUUUAAAACAAAAUACCUCUUGAAUGAUUUUGGUGUAUAAGUAAAUAAUGUAAUGCAUGAAAAACCCAGUGCGCCAACAACCUUACAAAGAGAUCUUAUGAGGCUUAGGUAUUGAAAAACACUUCUCUUUAAGGCAGACAACAUCGUGUGAAUACCAAAGGGGAACUCUACGUUCCUAGGGAAAGAUGCCUCGUCAGUACGUCUUGAGGUUGUUCACUAACUUCGGGGUUACCGGCUUUGAGAGGAGCCCUUUGAUGACAUUUGGGCAUGCAACUCUUCAUUUUCUUCCUUGAUUCGCCUUGUUUGGUGGAUCAAAGAUUGCAUAUGCCAGUCAUUUUUGCACUAGGUUCUCUCCAUGCUUUCACGCCAGCCAAAGUAGCUUUCGUUACCCAUAGUUGAGGAUCGGCUUCUAAAGGGUACUAACAUCCUUAGUCAUUCCCACAGAUGACACCAAUGUUGGUUCUGAGUCGGCUGAAGUCAAAUUCAUCCAACUUAACGGAAGUUUGACAACCUUCCUCCAUUUUUUGUGCCUCUUAGAGAAUCCACCUAGCAGUAAUGAGAUUGGGCGAACUCCUUUCUUGCACAAAAGAAUGUUCAGAUGAGUACUUCGGGUACGCCCUUCGAAGCUUAAGUGAGGCAAAAAUAGCUCAAACUACUUAAUGAGAGAGAGUGGAUAGGUGAAUAUGUGCCUACCUUGUUCGUGCUUUUUGAGGGGUUUAUAUAAUGUUGAUGAGAAUGCCACUAUAGUGCUUACUAGACACUUUAACUUUCUUCUAUAAUGAUGAUUGUCUUGCAGGCGGUUGGGCAAUCAUCAAAAUUUUGGGUGGCUGAUAGGUGCCAUCAACUAACGUGCCAUGAUCUUAGACCAUGCAGUAACCUGUUCCCUCAGUCUGUUGAUGGCCUAAGGUUAUGUGCAACAAUUAAUUGACAUGGACUUGAGGGCUAGAAGAGGUCCCAUCGGCCGUUCACAUGUCAAGUGUGAAUGAUCACUCAUGCUAGUGGGUCUUGAAGAUUUGACUAGACAACCUUACCUAUUUGGGAGGUCCAACCUCCCAUUGCCGUUGUUUUGGCCUUAUAGGAGAAAAGGGCUUUCUCAUGUAUGGUGCUAGAGGGACUAGUCGUGAUCCAGAUGAGUUGCAUACCCAUGCUAGAUGGUCGAAGUGUCCGGGUUGGAAAUGGAGGGAAGCCUCCCACAAAUAUGAGGGAGCCUUAUGAAAACGGAUCCUUAGGGCUUAAGAAGGGGUUUUCAAUUUUAAGGUUUGCCUUUUCACCCAAGGAUGUGAAUGGGAAGAUGAGGCGAAGUUAAAAGAUUGGUGAAGCAAAGUGAGGGCAAGGUAGGGUUUGAAUAAAGGAAAGUAUACACUAUUAAUGAAGAUGAUAAUCUCUAGAAAGAAAAACUAAGGUAAACUAGGGCUUUAAUAAUAAUUUUCAAUCUACACUAGUGAAGAGGAUAUCUUCGAAAACCAAAGUUAGGGCUUCAAUAACGAAUUUCAAUCUACAAUGGUGAAGACAAUAAUCUUCGAAAACCAAAUCUAUAAUGAUGAAGAUGAUUGAAAACUAAAUCUAUACUAGUGAAGACGAUUGGAAAGCAAAUCUACACUGGUGAAGACAAUGAAACCAAAUGUAGGUCUUCUAAACUAAACGCUUUUAAGGAUUUUCCUUUUUUUUUUCCUUUGUUUUCAAGAAAGGCAAACUCUUUAGAAAACUAAAAAAACUAAUGCAUUCUUAGAUCCAGAUCACUAUUUCCAACAUGGUAUUUGGAUUGCCAGCUUGCAUUUUUUAUUUUUUUAUUUUUUUAAUAGUCAUUGGCAUUUUAGGGAUUAUUGAAGGAUAAUAUCAUUCAGCUCAAUUUCCCAAAUUAGUUAGGUCUUACACUCAAAUGUGAAACUUAUAUGGAUGUUAGGCCAAUUAUCAAACUCAUCUGCCCUAAAACAUAAUUUCCCUUUUUUAAAAUAGUUGUUAAACAUCUAUCCCAAACACGUUUAACCCUUUGAAUUGCUUGUAUGUUAACCUUGUUUCCUUUUCUUCAUGCAACAUGGCUUAUUGAUGGUUGCAUUGAAUCAUUAUCAUUCACCAAUUCCAUGCAACUAUGGACUACAUUUCAAAUCCCUCGAACAUAAAUGGUAAUUCCAAAACAACUCAAGUAUAAUCUUUUCAACCCUUUCAAAUGAUUUAAUUAAUUGAUUUUUGAAUAUAUUCAUAUAUUUUUUUGAGCAAUUUUUAGGCAUAUAACAUAAAUCUCUUUUUUAUAUAUAUAUAAAAGGUUUUAUAUUUUAUAUUACAAUUUCCUUUUGUUUUUUCAUCUAAAAAACAAAACAUAAAACCUUAAUAAACGAGUUUUGUCACAAUCCCUUAACAAGUAAUCUAUUUUUUAAAUUACUUUAACAUUUUUAGAUAUAUUGAUUCAAUCUAAUUUACUUUUAAUAUUUUUUAUAAAAUAUUUUUACUUUAUAUGACUAUAAAUUAAUUACUAUUGAUUGCAUAUUAUAGAAUAUAUAUUCUAAAAUAUAUCUUAUUGACAAUAUAAUCAUAAGAUGUUAUAUCCAUAUCCUAACAUAUUAUAUACUUUUAUUUUGUGCAAUUAGCAACAUGGUGGGAAGUGGCAAGCAGCUUAACGGAAAUGUCAUGUGCCAAUGUGCCAUGCGUGUCCCUUCCCUUAGUGAGUCUGAACUGCUCCAACAUUUCCGACAUGUUAUUUUUUACUUAGCUCUUAAGUAUUUUCGUCUCGUUUUCGUUAACCCCAUCACAUUUCGCCACAUGGAUCUAAGCCUCAUGGUCCUUUCGUUCGUACAAUGAAUGUUCCCCCAAUUCCUUAUCUACACUAAAACUCCAUACUCGCCAUCUACUCAACCACUUCUCUACUCUAGAGUUUGGGUCCUUUAUCUCUGCACGUGUCUAUGGCUUUUCACCCCAACAAGUAUGGCAUUACAAGGGCAAUAUCGUCAUUAAAGACCCAAAAGGGAAACCAAUGGCAUUAUCUUCCUUUUGGUCUAUUCUAUUUAUAUUGUAAGUUAUUCGUGAUGACUUCUCCCAUAAAAGCUAAAAACCACUCCAAUAGAGCACACUUCACUUCUUCAUUUUUUUUUUUCCAGAUAAGCUCAGAAAGCCCAGCUCAUCCCUCAACUCCCCGAUGGGUUUGAUGAAUGUUCUUAAAUUCUCAACUGCAUGCUUUGAUCUUCUUAUCUGGUAUAUUGUCCACGCAUUUUCUUGUCAUUGGAAAAUUUUGGAAAAUGAAAUGGAAUUCUAUGUUUGAUGACAAAACUGGGAUUUGCUUUGAUUUCUCCAUGUUGGUUUUAUCCCUUUUGUUUGAAUUGUCCACAUUCUUGUCAUUGGUUGUUAGUUAUUUGUUUGGAUUUCUACUUGUAGGCCUCUGUUUGCACUGGGUUAUCCUCUAUAAAUCUUGGUCUUACACACCAAGAUAUGAUGAUUCAUUUACUCUUUUCUUGUUCUAUGAAUUCUUAGUUCUGUUACAUUUAUUGGGUUGGAAAACUGAAAAAGGAAAGGAUUAUUCGUUAUUAUCAUAAUAAUCAUCAACGUCAUCUCAAUUAUUCACAGAUGUGCAUCAAUUCAGGUAAUUGAGACUAACUCGAUCUCAGACAUUCAGAAGUUGGUGGCAUAUUGGGUUCUAUUUUCCUUGAUUUCACUUUUUGAUCGUACUUUUUCCAAGCUCCUUGAAUGGUAAUUUUGUUCAACUUCAUUCCAUCAUAUGUGGCUCUAUUUGUUUCAUUUCUUUGCCCUUCAGGAAUUUGGAGUUGCCUUUUUUAGUUUUCUUCCCUGUGAAAAUAAUCGAGAUGUUUAAUGUUCCAAGCCUCCAUGUAUUUUAUUUUCCUUCAUUUCUCUGCUUUGAUAAAUCCCCAUGAUUUGAUCAGCAAAAAGGCUAUAACAUUUGACAAAGAAAUGCUUUAUUUUGGUUUUUUAAGUACAACAAUUUUCAUUUGGAGAAAUGGUCUAAAGGGUAUCGGUGUUUGGAUGAAUCAUGGAAUUUUCUCGCUAAUUUGGGAUUUAUUCUCAAUUUCAAUAUCAUUGUGGAUAUUUCAAAAAUUAAUGAAAUAUAUAUGAUGGAAUGUGAUUUUCUUGUUUAAGAAAAGUUUUUCUUUAAAAAUUUAGGUAACCCUGACCUACCUUAUUGUGCUACUCGAAACACAAAACAAAAGUACAAGUAAUUUAGUAACUAAAUUGCACACUUUUUGAUAGUUCAAGGAAGUGGUGUUAGCUUUGGAAAUAAGAUGGAUCUACUAGUUUUUAUUUCUCAUCUUUAUAGGGAACUUUCCAUAAUAUAGCUUAUAAAUACCAUAAUCACAGUGAUGAAUAAUUGUCUUGUUUGAAAGCAUGGUUGCACUUAUUUGCAUGGAAUUUGUCUGCGUUGAAAUUAAAUUAAGCUUUAUGCAUCAUUUGGAUGCUGAGAAACAAAUGAAAAUAGAAAAUUCAAAAUUUGACAAGUUUGUGUAGGGAAAUUGGAUCUAAUCUCUUAAUCGAAGCUUAAUUAGGGCAAAUGUUGAUCCUCUUUGGACCUAUUGAAAGCUCUAAUCUGUGCACAAUUCUAAUGUUUUUGUUUCCUUAAUUUCUUUUUCAACUUUUCAACAAAGCAUCAAUUUGCUAUAAUAAAUGAGAACCAACUUGACGAUGAGAAAAAUGACUGGUGAUGAUGUCAUAGAGAAUCGCAGAUGAGAACAACCAAAAAUACUAGGAUUGGUACCACUGAUGGUAAUGAAGAAAACACAAAAAUGGUGCAAAUGGUGAACAGGAAACUCAAAAUGGAAUGGGAAAAGAAACCUAAACAAUAGUCUCCUAUAUAAAGCACACAACAUGUACAUCGAGGCAUCUGAAAGGACACGCUGCCUGAGAAGUCACUCUAAUUGAUGUGACUCCUCAUGACGUGGGUGGUGGACAUAUGUCCCAUGGUGCCAAAAAUUUCAAACACUCAAGCAACCGAAUACUUUCACUUAGUCAUUUAAAGCCUAGCUAGACUCAAUUGCAAGAAUUAAGGGCAUUGUGGGAUGCUCACCACCGUCUAUCAUGGUCCUCAAACACUGUCUGGUGUGAGACAUAUUGGCACAAGAGCCAUGUAGCUUCUCUAUCCACCCCAAGAUACUCCUAGGGUAGCAAACGAACACAAUCCGACCAAACACUAUGCAUUCCUACCCUACAAGCAUUAAUUUCAAUGAGCAAUAAGUGUAUUAACACAUUAAUGAAUGCAACCGUUAUAACGCUAAAACGCCAUACUUUAAGGUUCAUCAAGACACAACAACCAUUAUGGGCCGACAAUUAUUGGCGUUAAAUAUGGUAAUGCGCAAUCAAAGGCUCAAUUAAGGCCCUUUAGAAGACGUUACUAUUGGGCAAAGAUAAAUAACCAUUUUUUACCACAAGAAAGUCUGAUGCCAUUUUUUUCACAAAAACUUUUGCUUAAGUCUUCCAUCUCUAACCUAAGCUUUGAAGGGGUGUACUUGGAAAACCUAUCCGAACAUUCCUUUAUGUAGGUGCAAUCAUCGUUUAUGUCACGCGAAGGCUAGUCAAAGACCUUUAUUGGUCGUGCACCAAUAAAUCUAUUUAGUAUAUCUCAUUUAUCCGUUCAAGUGAGAUGAAGGAGUGACCUAAAGAUAGAUUGGAAACAUCAUAGUUUCUUAUAUUGGUAAGGCAGCAACAACCUCGGCUAGUGCAUCAACCUGCUCGUUUUCCUCUAGGGGUACGCGUUUGAUAAACCAUUCAUUCAAUUUUUCUGUUCAAGUGUACCAAAGAGAGGUAAUGAGCCAUGCAUUCAUCUCAAGCUUCAUAUUUUAGUUAGAUUUGUUCACCCACUAGUUGUGAAUUGCUUUUGAUUUCUACUUUCAUGGUUGUGAGAGCUAAGGCUAGAUCGUCUCAUAAGAAUUGCUUCAUAUUUUGCCUCAAUAUUAGAUACUGGAAAGUUGAGACAGACGACUUGUUCAAUUUGCUCUCCUGUAAGGAAUUGUUGUGUUAGUCCUAUCCUAGCUUCUGAUGUUCUAGAGGCUUCGUCUACAUGGAGAACACGCCAUUGUUCUUCAUUGUUAGACCUUGUCCAUUUUUGGGGUGGUUCGACUAUGAAAUCAAUGAGAACUUGCUAUUUGAGAUACUAAUGAGGUUUGUACCGUAUGUAAUAUUCACUCAAUUUGAUUGCCCAAUUCACCAUUCGACUAGAUAGAUUUAGCUUGUGCAACGUGACCCACAACGGUUGAUUUGUCAAGACCGUUAUUUGGUGCGCCUGAAAAUAUGGACAAAGCUUCUUGGCAGCGAUCCGUAAGUUCAGAGCCAUUUGUUCCACUUAAGAAUAUCGUGUUUUUGUGUCAAUCAUAGCUUUUCUCACAUAGUAAAUAAGUCUUUGUUCAUUACUCUAAUUGUGUGGAAACAAUAUGACAUUGACAGCAAAGUUUGACACAACCAGGUACAUGUAUAACUCUUCUCUAGCUUCAAGACUACUUAAGAUUGGUGGCUUCGUAAGAUACUGUUUGAUGUCUUUAAAGGCAUGCUCACACUCAUCCAUCUAACUAGACAUCUUUGCUCCCUAGAGUUUGCUCAAGAAAGGUCUGAGCUUAUUUAUGAAGCGUGUUAUGAACCAACCUAAGGUGAUUAGACACCCAGUUAGACGUUGCACUUCCUUCUUGCUAGUAGGAGCAGGGAUUUCUAACACUACUUUCACUUGAGCCAGAUCGACUUCAAUACCCCCUUUGAGUCACCAUGAACACAAGAAACUUCCACUCACUUACUCUAAAUGCAUAUUUUAUUGGAUUAAGCUUCAUGUCAUACCUGCACAUUAAACUGAAUGCUUCUUCCAAAUGGAGGAGCUUCUUGGAACGAGUUAUUCUCUUAAUGACAAUGUCAUCGAUAUAGACUUCCAACGUUCGACCUAUCAAGGGCUUAAAAAUAUGGGUCAUCAACUGUUGGUACGUAGCUCCAAUGUUCAUUAACCCAAGCGACAUGAUCUUGUAAAAGUACAACUCCUUAUGUGUAAUAAAUGUCAUCUUCUCUUUGUCAUGUGGAAACAUUGGUAUCUGGUGGUAUCCAAAAGAAGCAUCAAGAAAAGACAACAUUCCAUGCCUGGUUGUGGCAUCGACUAUCUAAUCUAUCUAGAGCAAUGGGAAGCUAUCUUUCAAGCAGACUUCAUUCAUAUCCACGUAGUCUGCGCACACCUGCCAUUUUUCUCCUUUCUUGGUACCACUACCACAUUUGUUAACUAGUCCAAGUAGGUCACCUCCUUGAUAAAUCUUCCUUUUAAUAGCUUCUCAACUUCUAUCUAGAUAAUUUUUUGAUGAUCCAACUAGAAACGUCAGACUUUAUAUUGUAUGGGUCGUGCUGUAGGAAGAAGGUUCAACUUAUGAGAGCUCACCGCUAGGUCUAUUCCAAGCAUUUCCGAAUGAAUCCACACGAGGAUAUCCUUGUUUUUACAAAGCAUUUCACCAACAUUACCACAUUCAUCCCUAGUUAGCAAAAAAUUAGCGUAAGUCAUCUGCUUAUUAUUUUUCGACAAAGAUAGCUAUUGUAAUAGGCUGAUUGCCAAUGAGUCUCUAUCCUCUAGUUUUCCUUCGACCUAAUUCUAUAAUUGUUAUUAGCUCUCUCUUGAUGAUUUGAGUUCAUCUUUAGUUGGGCCUGAACUCCAUCGCCACUUAGUAACACUACUAGGUGGCUAAUUGGAUUCCAUGUGGAUCCACUUACCCAAAUUCUGUCAGGUAGCUCACCAUCUUAUGAUAGGUGGAUGGAAUAACUUUCAUCUUAUGUAGGUACGACAACCUUAUGAUGGUGUUGUACGACGGUAAAUCCUCUACUAUAGAAAAUCAUACGUUGAGAGUAGGCGGGUUGGCUUGGACAAGAAGUACCACGUCGCAUAGUGAUAUUGUGGCAACCCUAUUAAACCCAAACAAAAGUCGAACUAGAUUUUCUAAGGCAGAUGACGAACAUCCCAUUUUCCUGUAGGUUGACAUAUGCAAUAAAUUGGAAUGAUCAUUUUAGGAAGGAUCACUUGAUUAAUGUUAAUUGAAGGGAAAGUGAUUGGGUCAUUGACUGGUCGGGCACUUUCGACAGUAAAUGUGCACUGAACUGCACUUACUCUUUCCCUCCCUGUAGUCGCACAGAGCAUUCGUCUCCUUUGUUGUUUGGAGUGAUAUUUGUCAUCUACUAUUUCCCCAUGGAUAUAGUUAAUCACUACUCGAUGUGUUGUGGGAGAGUCAGGAACUCACUCUGACACUUCACGUGUCAUUUCUUUAUGUCCACCAGUUGCUCAGACAUACAACUUGAGAUGUCCGGUAAUGAUUAGUUUCUCCACCAAGUAGUGCAAAUUUUUGCACUCUUCUGUGGUGUGCCCAUGCUCCUUAUGAUAGAAUCAUCGCAAUCCUCGAUCAUGCUUGGACGAAUCAGUUUUGAUGGGCUCUAGCCACUUGAACUCGAGCAGCUCUCAAAUCAAGAGGAGAAUUCUAUCAUAAAAAAUGGUCAACGGGGUGAGCCUAGGCGAUUAUCAUUGUUGUUGUCUUUCUUGUCCUUGAUUAGUCUAUCUAGACUGGCUUGAGGGCUUUAAGCUCUUAGCCUUCUUUUUUAAUUGCUCGGUUUAUAACCAGGAUUUGUUGAGAGGUUACCUAAACAUCCUCCUCAAGCAUGACAUGUUUGCCCACUCGUCUAAAUAGGUCAUUCAUUGUAGUGGGCAACUUUUUGGCCAUGGACUUGAAGAAUUGAGUGCUUGGACUGAUGAUCCAUUUGAAGAUCUGCAGGAUAGCAUCCAUGUUGUAAGAUUCCAUCUAGAACACCGCUUGUCUGAAUCACUUCAUGAAGUCCCUUAGCGAUUCAUUCUCCUACAUCUGAAUGUUCUAUAAGGUGCUUAUAUUCUGCUUUUGGCGAGCAAAACAUAAAUAAUGGCCCACAAAGGCCUCUAAAACAUCUGUCAUCUGUUGUUGGAAGUGCAUCAGGUGAACAAAAGAGUCACCAUCCCAUAGUAAAUAGUAAAUUUGGGCACCGGAAACCCCUGGGCAGCUCAUAACUAAUGAUAUGUGGGUCAAACGACAUGAAGAGCAUGUCAUCCAAUCAUCUACUUAUGGAGUCAAGAGGGGCUUUUGUCAAUGGGUUAUUUGUCGAUUGUAGUUCUAGUAUUGAACAUUAAGGCAGACGGCUUGGUGAUGCCUCAUCGUUUGAUUGGCCUAAUUGUGCUUUCAAGGCCUCCAAUAUGCAUGGCGAUGCUAGUGUUCUUCUCUCCUGAUACCCAAGAUAGGCUUUCAGGGCAUCUGAGAGACGUAAGCCCCAUUCUUAACCCAUUUUCCAUUUUUCUCCAAUAGAGCUUGCAACCUCUUUCGCUUGAGUUCGAUCGACUACUGAAUGCACUAGUUCAAGUAAUGUUAGCGAACUGCUAGUAGACAAUCCCUCAUCCACUGUUUGUAGAGACGACUUAGUGUAUCAUUGAAGAACUUUCAUUGUUUGGCUUCAAACUACUCUUGAAGUCGUCUAUUGGUUGGAGGUACGAUGACUUUUUUAUCAGCACCCCAUAGCCACUUGUGCUCGUAGCUCUUGGUUCUCUUGCUGUAGUUGUUCUGCCUGUUGGACAGGGACUACAUAGGUUAUUCAUAUUCUUCUUGCUUUUUUUCUAUCUUUCCUUGCCAAGCUUGGAAUCGCUCGUCAACAUUUGCAGAAUGAGUUGCAGGAGGCGUGUUAACCAUCGUGUUUUUUAGGCAUUUGUGGUUGAUUCCCAUAGACAAUGCCAAUGUUGGUGCACGACCAGUAAAAAAAGGUGUUUGGCUAGUCUCCAUGUAACAUAGAUGACGAUUGCACCUGCACAAAGGAAUGUCUGAAUGGGUUUUUCAGGUACACCUUUCCAAAGCUUAGGUCAGAAAUGGAAGACUUAAGCAAGAGUUUUUGUGGAAAAAUUGGUAGCAUACUUUUCUUGUGGUUAAGAAUAACUAUUUAUCUUUGUCCAACUAUAAUAUCUUCUCAGAUGCCUUAAUUGAGCCUUUGAUUGUGCAUUAUCAUCUUUAAUGUCAAUGAUAGCCAACCCAUAAUGGUUGUUGUGUCUUGAUGAACCUUAAAGGUUGGCGUUUUAACCUCAUAAUGAUUGCAUCCAUCAAUGCGUUAAUGCACUAAUUGCCUAUUGCAAUUAAUGCUUGUUGGGCAAGAAUGCAUAGUGCCCGAUUAGAUUGUGUUUGUUUGGUACCCUAAGAGUACCCUGGGGUGGACAAAAAAGCCACAUGGCUCUUGUUCUAACAUGUCUCGACUAGACAGUGUUUGAGGAUCAUGUUAGAUGGUGAUGAGCAUCCCACAGUGAAGACGUAUGAUGAAAGCAAAGGUAGGGCUUCUAAACCAAACGCUUUUAGGGAUUUUUUUUUUUUUUUCAACAAAGUUGACCUCUUCAAGGAAAAAAAAAAAGGUUAAAAAAACUAUUGCUUUUUUGGAUCCAAAUCACCAUUUCCAAUGUGAUAUUUGGAUUUCCACCAUGUAUUUUUUUUUUUUUUAACAGUCAAGGACAUUUUAUGGAUUAUUGAAAGAUAAUAUCUUUCAACUUAAUUUCCUACAUUAAUUAAGUCUUAGGCUCAAAUGUGAAACUUAAGUGGUUGUUAGGCCAUCAAACCCAUCUGCCCUAAAGUAUAAUUUCCCAUUUUCAAAAUAUAUAGUUGUUAAACAUCUAUCCCAAACUAUUGUAACCCUUUGAAGUGCUUGGUAUGUUAACCUUGUUUCCUUUUCCUUAUGCAACAUGGCUAAUUGAUUGUUGCAUUGAAUCAUUAUCAUUCACCAAAUCCAUUCAACUAUGGACUUACCUUUCAAAUCCCUCUAACAAAAAUGGUAAUUCCAAAACAACUCAAGUCUAAUGUUCUCAACUCUUUCAAAUGAUUUAAUUAAUUGGUGUUUGAAUAUACCUCUUAUAUUUUUUUAGAGCAAUUUUUAGGCACAUAACAUAAAUUUCUAAUUUUUUUUUAGAAAAGGUUUUAUAUUUUAUAUUUUAUAUUACAACUUCCCCUUUUUUUUCCAUCUAAAAAACAAAACAUAAAACCUUAAUAACCGAGUUUUGUCACAAACCCUUAACAAAUAAUCUAUUUUCCAAAAAUUACUUUAACAUCUUUAAACAUAUUGAUUUAGUAUACUUUACUUUUAAUAUUUUUUGAAAAAUAUUUUUAUUUUAUAUGAUUAUUAAUUAAUUAAGAUUGAUUGGGUAUGGUAGAAUAUAUAUUCCAAAAUACAUCGUAUUGAGAACAAUAUCACAAGAUAUUAUAUCCAUAUCUUAACAUAUUAUAUACUUUUAUUUUGUGCAAUUAGCAAUUGGACGGAAGGUAGGGAGCCGGCUUAAUGGAAAUGUCGCAUCUCACGUGUGUCCCUUCCCUUACCAAGUCUCAACAAAGGAUGAAAAUAUCGGUAAUCACGGAUAUAUCGGUACUUCGAUUUUACGGAUAUAUUAGAUAUAUCAGAGAUAUAUUGACGGAUAUUUUGGAAAAAAAUAUCGAUAAGCCUAAAAUUGAUCAAAAUUUAUAAAAAUAUAAAAAAAACUUCAUAAAAAUGUAAUUAAAAGAAGGUCGUAUAAGUUACUCAUGUUGAUCAUGUGAUAUAUCACGAGAUAUAAUCGAUUUUUGGGAAUUUCUCACGAAAAUAUCGCGACAUUUCUUCCUUGUCUCGACUGCUCCAAGAUUUCCUAUACGCCCUUCUUCGCUUAGCUCUUAAGUCUUUUCUUCUCCUCUUCCUCAAACCCAUCACAUUUCGCCGCGUGGAGCUAAGUCUCAAGGUCCUUUUGUUCGUACGAUGUAUGUUCCCCCAAUUCCUCAUCUACCUUGAAACUCCAUACUCGCCAUCUACUCAACCACUUCUCUACUCUAGAGUCUGGAUGCUUUAUCUCCGCGAGUGUCGAUGGCUCUUCACCCCAGCGAGUAUGGAAUUACAAGGGCAAUAUCGUCAUUAAAGACACAACAGGCAAACCAAUGGCAUUGUCUUCCUUUUGGUCUAUUUUAUUUAUGCUGUAAGUAUUCGUGCUUGACUUCUCCCGCGUCUCUUAUAAAAACUAAAGAAAACCACUCCAACAGAGCACACUUCAAGAAUCUUCUUUUUUUUUUUCUUUCCUCUUUCUCUUUACAUAUAUACUGAGAAAGCCCAGCUCAUCCCUCAAUUCCCAGAUGGGUUUUAUGAAUGUUCUCAAGUUCUCAGCUGCAUGCUUUGAUAUUCUUGCCUGGUAUGUUGUCCACGCAUUUUCUCGCCAUUGGAAAUUUUUGGAAAAUGAAGUGGAAUUCUCUGUUUGAGGACAAACAUGGGAUUUUCUUUGAUUUCUCCCUGUUGGUUUUAUCUAUAUUCUUUGGAUUACCCACAUUCUUGUCAUUGAUUGUUAGUCAUUUGUUUGGAUUUCUACUUGCAGGCCUCUAUUUGCACUGGGUUAUCCUCUGUAAGUCUUGGUCUUACACCUCAAGAUAUGAUGAUUCAUUUACUCUUUUCUUGUUCUACGAAUAGUUCAGUUACAUUUAUUGUGUUGGGAAACUGAAAAGGGAAAGGAUUAUUCUUUAUUAUCGUAAUAAUCAUCAACAUCAUCUCGGUUCUUCACAGAUGUUCUUCAAUUCGGGCAAUUGAGACUAACUCAAUCUCAGACUUUCGGAAGUUGGUGGCGUAUUGGGUUCUAUUUUCCUUGAUUUCACUCUUUGAUCAUGCUUUUUCCAAGCUCCUUGAAUGGUAAUUUUGCUCAACUGCGUUCCACUAUAUGUGACUCUGUUUGUUUCAUUUCUUUGCCCUUAAGGAAUUUGGAGUUGCUUUUUUCAGUUUUCUUUCCUAUGAAAAUAAUCGAGAUGUUUAAUGUUCCAGGCCUCCAUGUAUUUUAUAUUCCUUCAUUUCUCUGCUUUGACAAAUGCUCACAAUCUGAUCAGCAGAAAGGUUAUAACAUUUGAAAAAGAAGUGGUUUAUUUUUGUUUUUUUUAAGUACAAUAAUUUUCGUUUGGAUAAAUGGUCUGAAGGGUGUUUGUGUUUGGCUGAGUUCAUGGAAUUUUCAAGCUAAUUUGGGAUUUAUUCUCAAUUUCAAGAUCAUUGUGGAUAUGUCAGAAAUUAAUGAAAUAUAAAUGGUGGAAUGUGAUUUUCUUGUUUAAGAAAAGUUUUUCUUUGAAAAUGCGGGUGCACCAGACCUACCUUAUUGNNNNNNNNNNNNNNNNNNNNNNNNNNNNNNNNNNNNNNNNNNNNNNNNNNNAUCAGAUUCAACUGUGAUAGCCCGGAAUUUAAUUCAGUAUUCGACUCUUCUGGGAACAUGUUGGUUAUGGUUUCUCUCUCACUGUCCUCUUCUUUACACAUGACUUUUCAGUUGAGGAGCACAAAGCCUAAUGUUGAAGUGAAAGAGAUCAAAGCACCUGCAGCACCGGAGAAAAAAGGGGAACAGGUAAGUACUCUAAUGUGGCUAUUUAAUUUCUAUGGAGGCAGAUCCCCAGAGAAAUGCUGUUCAUGUAAAUUACUGAUGCAUUUGAUUCAAUGGCCACGGUUUUAAAAGAAAAACCACUUUAUGUAUGUUUCUGUGAAUGAGAGAACAAGUUUAUGGAUUAAAUGAUAUUUUUUAUGGUGAAAUAAUCAAUAAUUUUCAAAAUAAUAAUACAUUCCUGCAUGUUUUUGCAAUUCAUGAAUUCCUUUUAUGAUUGAUUCUUCUCACCUUUUUUCUCACCUCAGUGGAAGUGUGAAGAGCCUAAUGUUGCUCAAAAAGAGAUCCAAGUAGUCAAAGUAACAGAGAUAAAAAAUGGGGGGGAUGGAGCAAAGAGGGUAAGUUUUGCUUUUUAUUUAUAAAGUAGGCUGUCUUCACACAAGGAUUAUUAUUAUUAUUAUUGUUAUUAUUUUAAGACAUGAAUGUUGAAUGAUUUUGGAAUUGUCCUUGAAUCAUGUGAAGUGUGAAUGGUCUAAUGCUGCUAAGGAGGAGGUCAAAGUGACAGAAGUAACACAGAGAACAUUUGGUGGUACAGCACAGUGGGUAAGGUUUCAUGUCAUAUUUAAAUGGCUCCUCAUAUUUCACUAGGAUUAAUUUUGCCCCUACAAACUAUUUGGCUACAAGUUAAGACAGAGUUCCAGAUGCUGAUAAAGCUGAGACAUAAGUAAUGAACGAAUUUAGACACAUGCACAACUCUUGUGUGAAACACAAUGAGAGUGGAAAAUAGCUAAGUUGAAAAAUGGCCAAAUACUAUUUUGUAGUUCCCCCUACCACUUAAGUAAUUUUUGUCAUCCUUUGUGAAUGGAAAAUGCAGUCCCUUCAGUAAUUCCAUUAUAUUCAUGACUUGGUGAAGCAUAUAACCAUUAGUGUCUUACCCUAAGUCGACCUUUAAUGAUGAUCCAUUGAGAUGGGUCUGACUUUUGUCAACCCUCUUAUUCCCUUGAUCAUAGAGGUGAAACUUAGGGGGCUUAACCCACUUUUCAAUCUUAUUGGAUAUAUGGCACGUGGUAUCCUCUUCAUCUUGAAAGAGUGAAGUGGUCAUACUCUUUCCUCUGAGUCCAUUGUGGCCAUGCACUUCAGGCUCAUUGGGCUGAGUGAAAGGAUUCCCUUCUGCUUCAAAUCAUAGAGAGAUAUGCCAUGGUCAGCCUCUUUAAUUCAAGGGAUUGAAGUACUCAAAUCCAUUUCUCUGUAUCCAUCUUAGUUCUGCAUUCAUGUCUCAUGGUUAACCAAGAAGAUCCAGCCUCCAUCCAUGAGAUCAGCAUCUGCAGGUUUAUGACACCACCCUUCCUUUGCAUAGGAAAGGGAUCAUUAAGCCAUGUGUCGGAUGACAGAAGUCAUCAUUCAGGUUAUCUUGAGAACUAAGGAAGUUGGAAUUCUAAUUAUUGCAUAUGGUUCUUGAUGUUUAGCCAAUAUACUAUAGGAUUUUAAGCAUCAUGCUCACGUGCAUUGUGGUUGCUUAUCAGCUAUAUGGUUUGCCAAAAUGAGGGACUGAUUAUGGUCAUAAGUACCUUUUUCCCAUUAAUUUCUUGCAUGUGCUCUGCUGAGAUUAUGUUUUUGACAGUCCAAAUCAGGGCAAACCAACAAACAGCUUUAUGUUAACUUUUACAAACUGCCAUAUUUUCAGGUUAAACAAACAGAGAUAAAUCUUGGUGAAACUAGAAGUAAUACAACCUGUGCUGUGGAGAUAAAAGAAAGGGCAGCAGCACUGGUGGCUGCAGAAAUUGAGGCAUGUAGAGACGAUAGAACCCCCAAGAUACCUCUUCAUGAGAAAGUCCAGAAAGAGUGGGCUUGUGCUGUGUGCCAGUUCACAACCCAAACUGAAGCGACCUUCAAUUCCCACCUUCAAGGGAAGAGACAUCAGGCCAUUUCUGAGCAGCUGAGAGCCAAAAAUCAGGCAACCAAAACCAAUUGUUCCCCAUCUGCUUCAAUGGCCAAGAAAUCUGAUCAGUCCACCAAAGAGGAGCAACCGAAGUGUACUUCCAAUCUGAAUUCCAAAAACAAUGGAAUCUCAGCUGCUUCAACAGUGAAGAAACUUGAUGAGACCAAAGAUGAUGAGCAACAAAAGUCUGCAUCUAGCAAUGGACCGAACCAGAAGAAUAACAAAAAGCAAGAGGUACAGACCAAUGAGCAAGGCCGUCAGAAGAACUUAAGGCAAACUGGUGAUGGAAUGAAAGAGUUGAGAUCAUGGUGCAAUAUCUGUAAUGUAAGCUGCACAAGGGAGCUUGACCUGGCCUCGCAUCUCAAUGGAAGGAGGCACUUUGAUAGGAUAAAGCAGCUGUCUGAAUUAUGGUGCAGUAACUGCAAUGUAAGGUGCAACAGUGAGGUUGAUAUGGCCUCUCACCGAAAUGGGAGGAGGCACUUGGAGCAGCUGAAGGAACGGUUAGGAUUAUGGUGCAGUAUCUGUAGUGUGAGUUGCAACAGCAAGGUGGACAUGGAUUCUCACCUAAAUGGGAAGAUUCACUUGGAUCAGAUCAAGGACCAGUUAAGAUUAUGGUGUGGGGCAUGUAAUACAACCUGCAAGAGUGAGCGCAACAUGGCCUUUCAUCUGAAUGGGAGGAAGCACUUAGAGAAGAAGGGGAAUACCUGAUUUGCAUGUUUCUUCAGAUUAUUGAUACUUACAAAUGGUUUUAGUUAGAAGCAUACAGGCCAGUGGGUGGUGGUCACAGAUGCCUCUAUUUUGUUGUAUGAAGUAAAAACAGUAUUUCCAUGUCCAGAAAUCAACCACUUGUUUAGUGCAUGCAUGGCUGGUUCAAAAUUAAACCUAAUUGUGAAUGACUAGGAGCAGGGAGGGAAAAAUUGAAGGGAAGAAUGUAAGAUUAUGGCUUCAUUUUUAUUUUUUCCUCUUCUGAAAAUUGUAAGAUUGUGUUAGGAGGAGCUGGAAUGGGUUCAAAUCAGGAAUUAAGACCCAGUUCCAAGACAUGGAAAGUGUCUUUAGAUUAUGUUAAGUUAUUUCCAUUUUUUUUUCUUUUCUAUUUUUUUUCUUUAUUUAUUGUAAGAGGGAGCAUAAAUGAAUUUUUAUUUUUUAUUUUUUUUUUCAGAAUAAAGAUGAAUUUGAUAAUUUCAAUUAUUGCGUUUGGAUGUAUUUCGGAACGUAAGAUUGAAAUAAUUAUUUGUUUUCAUUUUAGUGUUUGAUAAUAAUGAAAGUAUGAAUUAAAAAAUAAAUUGAUAAUAAUACUCUUACAUUUAAUUUAAAACAAUUUUUUAUUUUUAUUUUUAUUUUAGAAGAAUAUGGGUUAAUUUUAUUUAUUUAUUUUUUAAAUAAUAAGCUUAAGAAAAAUAAUUUUUACUCAAUAAAUAAAAUUAAUCAUACAAAGUCAUAAAAACCAAACCAAAAUAUAAGGGUAAAAUAGUAAUUUUAAAAUAUUCAUUUAAGUUAUCCAAAUGCAUUCCUACUCUUCAUUCUCUUGUACGAAAUACGGUCUUUAAGCGUUUGUCAAACUUAUUUCUUUUUUGGCAAUAUAUCAAUAUUUUAGUAAUAUUUUUAUCGAUUAGUUGCUGAUAUUUAUCGCCACGUCACCAAUUCUUUGAGUUUGACUUUCAAAAUUUUGAAAUGAUCAUUGAAGUCCAGUUCAGCCCAAAUCACUACACCCAUGAAAGGGAACGGCUGGGCCACCACACUAAUAUGGCCCAUACAUGGGACCUCGUAAAAGAAUACCCAUCUUCAAAAAUAGGGACCAUAUUAAAUUAUUAAUGUAGCUAUAGGAAGCAUUUGAGGACAAGGGUCAUGAUUUUUCCCUUUUCUUUUUCUCCUUAAUUUUCACAUCACCCAACAACACCACUCUUAAUUCACACAAAUUUGAAGGUUUGGAAUGAGACUUAUUCGUAUUUAUAUUGUAAUUAUGCUAUAAUAAUCGUGUCGUAUUUGGAUUUAUUUAUUAAAUCCAUCUAAAUCUUUUGUUUAUUCGUGUCAAAACAAUAUAUUUAUAAUCGAAUCCAUUUAUGACAUAUUCAUCUUUUAUAAAUUUAUUAAUUUUAUAUAUUUUAAAAUUAUAAAAAUUAAAUAUAUUUUUUCAAUUAUGAAAUCAUAUUACUAAAAUAUUAAAUAAUUCAUUAACUUGAAAUGUUUUACAUUUCAUUAAUUAUUUUAUAAUUACAACAUUAAGUGAAAUAAUAAAUAGGUAUAAAAUAUAUAUUUUAUUUUAGUUAAAAAUUAUAAAUUGUUAUUGAGACAUAUAACUAUUAAAAUUCUACCCAUUUGACUAUCAAACAAACAACUUAAGUUUUUAGUCAUGAUUUAAGCUUAUGAUAAACUCUAUUUACAAAAAUUAGAAACCAAAAUCAAAUUCUUCCUAGACUCAAAAACAUAAAGACAAUCUUUUAACUUUAGAAGACAACUAUCAUCUAAGAUAAGGGUAACUCAUCCCAUUGCAUGUACAACAAUUCUUGCUUCAAAAGCUAAUGUUAGGUACAUAUCCCUAUCAUUCAACCUUUCCCUUAGCUAAAACCCCUAUAAAGAAUUAUAAACAUGAUCAAUGGCUCCAAAAUUUAUCCACCAAGAGUUAGUGGAAUCUAACACUAAAAAUGAUUCAACUAAAAGAGAAUGAUGCAUACCUAACUGUCUCUUCAAGAACUAAGGGCAUUCCUUCUUCUAGUGGCUUUUUUUACCACAAAGGAAACACUUAUCAUGACCCUUACUCUUCUUCUUUUUCCCUUGCCCUUGAACUUUCCCUUCUGCUUGGUGAAUUCUACAAUGUUCUUCUUAUUUUGGUUAGAAGAACCUAAAGAACACUUAACUGCCAUAUAAAUACCUCUCUGGUCCUUGAGAAUUCCCUCAAUUGUUUUGUGUUCUCUCAUCAGUUCGGUUAUAGUUUAAGAAAAAAAAUGUUUUUUUUAUGUGACUAAACUUGGAAUGAAUGUCCAAGUUGCAUACAUACUCGGGCUAAGAUCAAGUCAUAACGUAGUUUAAGAAAAAAGAUUUUUUUUUUUUUUUUUUUUUUUUUUUUUUUGUGAUUGAACUUGGAAUGGAUUUCUAAGCUACUUACGUAUCCAGGAUGGGAUCAAGUUCUAACAUAGUCACAAUGCAGUUCAAGAAUUUUUUUUUUCUUUUUUUGUGCUCUAACUUUUGCCAAGACUAAAGAUCUUAAUUUUGCGAGCAUGUUCUAACUUUUGCCUAGGUCGCCUUUCCAAGUUUUCAAUUUAGCAAACAAGGUUUUUUUUUUCUUUUUUUUCUUUUUCUUUUUUUAGUUCUCUAACUUUUGCCAAGACUAAAGAUUUUAAUCUUGGAAGCAUGUCUUAACUUUUACCUUAAGUCGAAUUUUUAGGUUUUCAAUGUGGUGGAUUUUUUUUUUUUUUUUUUUUUUUUGUGUCGUAGGUAAUUUAAGCUCAUAUGGAUUGGAAGCAAUGUGUAGUUUGUUGGGAUUAAGCCCUUAAAAGCAAGACAUGAUGUAAUAAAGUUAAACUUAACUAUUUCCUUACUAUCUUUUUGGUGUAUCAACAUUGAUUUAAACAUUCAACCCAUAUCUCUUACAUUGUACAUGAUUUAGGAGCAUUAAGAGUUGCACAAAAGAUACAAGUUAUGGGUUCCUUGUAAGUAGAUGAGUUAUCCAUAGUCAUUUCAUGGAUUUGGGCAAUCUAGUAGUGACUAUAGUGCACCACCUCCUAAUUUAAGGGAUGACUUGUCUUGGCAGUUGGGAUGAGUUUCCUAUGGUGAGCGUACUAGUGUAAAUGAUGCACAUUGGACAGGACCUAUGGUGAAUCAUGACGCAAGGCUAUCAAUUGUCAUGAUUCACCAAGUUACUAUACUACAUGGACUCUCAACCUUGAGAGGACAUUGAACCCAUGUCAAAAUCAAUAGAAAGUUUUGACCUAUGGGCGAGACCCUAAAGUAGUCAUAUAUUCCUAUGGAUUAGGUCAUUGUUGAUGUAGGCUGGUUAUAAUAGGCAUUCUCAAUAGAGGCACCAUGAUAUGUCAUGGGAUUGAGAUGGUGUGUCCCUUUGGGUGAUCCAAAGAACAUGUGAUCAUGAAAUUUGUGGCCACAGUAAUUCCUUUAGUGAAAUUUGACAUAUGCUCCUUGGAGUUAGAGUAUGUCAAUUGAUCACAUAAUAAGUGAGAUCUAUAACUCAAGGAUUUGAGAGAUAAUAUUGAUAGGUGAUAACACUAACUUGUUAGAUUUAGACACCAGUUUCAUGAGGAAUAUGCAUGUAGUGGAUAGUAGGUCAUGAAUGCGAGCUUUGUCUCGUUGUUAUUUACAUAAGGUACCGGAGUGUAGUUGAUUCUCUUUAGUAGAGUGUUGAAUCAACUUCAAAAUUGGAUUAUGAGGUAGUCAGUACUCCUAUGGGUCUCAAUGGUCCCCACUCUGAGCUAAUAUACCAUGAUGACACAAUUUAUGAGGGUUGGAUUGACUUUAGGUUCAUUCUUAUGCAUAAGGGCAUUUUGAUAAUUACACAAGGUUGCAUAGGGGAUAAUAAAUAAGGUCUCUAGAUUGGACUAAUUGAUUAAUUAGAUGGCCUUAUGUGGUUAAUUAAUCAAUUAAGACAUGUUAGGGCUAGAUUAAGUGACCCAAGCCUUGAUGGGUUCAAGUCACUUAAGCCUAAUGGGUAACCGUAUAAAUACCUCCUUAUGGGUUAGGGUUUUCUAAUGACUUUUAGUUAGUCAUCUUCCACUUUUAGAAAAAUAGAGAGAGCCAAAGCUUCCUCCUUUCCACUGCCCACACUUUGGUAUGCCAAGAUCGGGAAUCGAGUCAUCGAACAAAAGAUCUUAGGUGUACGAGACCUUUGAACUCUUUAGGCUUCUUCUUCGUUGGAUGGAUUUUGAUCUGGGAACAUCUAGAUCACAUGUAUGUGUUAUAAUAUUUGGUUAAUUCAACCUAAGGUAAUCACCCUAGAGAAGGGGUGAAUAGGGUGAUGAUUUUUUUUUGCAAAUUUAAAUUAUGUGAAUGCAAGAGACAAUUAUAUGCAAAAUAUAUGGCAAAACCAUAUAAAAACAAUUGCAUAUAAAGUAAAAGGUUAAGGAAGAGAGAAUAUAAACACAAGAUUUUUAUAGCGGUUCAGUGCAACCCGACCUCCAUCCAUUCUCUUCUAGCUUCAAUACUAAACUUGAGGUUCCACUAAUUCAAGGCUUCCAAUCCAAGCCUUCAAGUAAUACAAUUGGAUUAUGGUUCCAAUCAAACCUCUUGAAAUUUUAGUUCUAAACACAUUUUACAAUCUUCAAGAGAUACCUCACUCUUGAACAACUCCUUAAGUGAUACCUCACACUUGAGAAUCCCUAAGUGAUACCUCACACUUAGAUUUUUCAUCUCAAAGAUUUAUCCGCUCUGCACCCACCUCCCGAGUAUAUGCUUCAACAGGAAUCACACAAGGGUAGAUUGAUACAAUAGAAACCUCUGGUAAAAUGCCCGCUCGUAACCCAGCAGAUAAAGUACAUUACAUAGUCCGUUUUAGGGAUUGGCUACUUACCCAUUCAGUGACUUUGGCACUGGACGUUCCCAAAAUGGGUACUAUCGGGUCGGGUGAAUUCAAUAAUAGACGCCUGUUGGCAUUCCAGCCUUCCUUCUCCUUUCAGGGCCUAUCCGAAAGAGAAUCCAGUACUUCUUGGUCAAAUGAAGAUAGGAAAUUAUUAGCCUAAGGACUCUCCUAAUCGGGUUUUGAUGAUAACAAACCAUGAUUAAAUGACUAAUUGGUUUAAUGGUUAAGAAUCUCAAGCAUAAACUCGAAAAUUCAUCAAAUGACCAAAUGGAUACAAGAUCGAGACAUUUGGAAGACUUGUGAUCAUAGGAAACUAAUGUAAGAUGAAUGCAUGAGUGCACUUAGGAUUUUCAUACCGUUUCAUACAAUUUAGAAAACUCAGUUUAUUCUUUAAAACUUCAAUUUCAUUAAAACCCGAGUUUUAACAAUUGUACCUCAGGCAAAAUGUUUUAAAAUUGGCAUAAUAAUUCACCUAAAAACCUUGCCUAAGUGUUAGGAAAGAAAGGAAUUGAAAAAGAUAGGUUUUCGGGGCCAAAAGGCUCAACCGGUCGAGGCUAUGGCCAACCAACUCAACCGGUUAGGGAAUCGGUCGACUGGUUACCCUUGUCCAGUUGAGGUCCGAUCGAAGGAUGCACAAAAUUUUCUCUCUCUCCCAGUAGCCUUCUCUUCCCGGUUGAGGUUAUUCUCUUCCCUGUCGAGGUCCGGUAUAGGCAACGGUAACCUGUCAAGCAUUAAAUGCUCCAACGGCUAGCGAACCGGUCAACCCCUAGCUCGACCGGUCAAGGUUACCUUUUGUUGUUUUUGACUCCCGAGCUUAGAAACCUAUAAAUUGAGAGCUCCACUUCAUUUAUUGACGAGAUAACACUUGCAAUCAAUUGUCUACCUAUUUGUUCUUGAUCAGAAAGCUCUCAUUUCUUUCUUAGUACAUUAAAUCAUCACUUGCAUAUCCUUUAGUGCACUCUUGUGUGUCAUCCUAGAUUUGUCUUGUAUUUGAGCUAUCUUUAAGCUAGGUUGAGGGAUUCAUUCUUGUAAAAACCGAGUGUUAAAGCCUUCAAGAAGUUUAAAUCUUGAAGAGAUUGUGUAAGAGUCCAUUGGAGCCAAAAUCCAAGUGUAAGAAGAUUGGAAGUUUGGUUGAAGUUUCAAGUUAGUGGAACCUUCACUCGGUUAGGAGAUUGAGGAGACUGAACGUAGGCAAAGAAGUGUCGAACUACUAUAAAACCCGAGUUUGAAUUCUCUAACUCUAGCUCUUUAUUUUGCUUAUAUUGUGCUUGAACUCGUUGUGAUUUAAAAGAAUUUAAAAAACCCCUAUUUGGGUGUUUUUCUUAAUUAAGCAUAGCCUUUAUUUUCUCAUAAAUAAUCUUACAAAAUCUUAGUACAAACUUUAGCCUUAAAUGAUACAAAAUAAACUAGGAUUGAAUGGUGCACUAAUGAUAUGUAAGUUUUAAAACAAUGUGUACAAAAAACACUCCCCUAAAGCUCAAAUAUAUUCGAGAAAGGUUUAAGAAGGUUAAACUCUUGAAACAAUAAAUAUUGAAACCUUUUUAUAGAAGAGAAAAACCAAACUACCUGUUGGGGAUUCGUUCGAUCAAGCUCUGGUUCGACCAGUUCACUAGCCUUUAGCAUUUAAUGUAUGAUAGGUGACCAUUGGACCUUGACUACCCCUUGAUUGGUACUCGACCGGAUGAAGUUCAACCUUGAUUGAUCGAAUAAGCAUUCUGGAAGAGAGAUAAGGUUUUUGCACCUUUCAACCGAGUAAGCUGAAUAGGUCGACUAAUUUCUCAUUCGAUUCAACCGAUUGAGUCAUUUUUUGCUCAACAACUAUUAUUUUCAACUUAAAACCUUUUAAACAAGUUUGGAAAGCAUUUGACAUAAGGUUUUAGUUGAAAACAUGAAAUCAUCCAAUUUUUAAAAGAUUUAAAACAAAAUAACUCUUGAAUGAUUUUGGUGUAUAAGUAAAGAAUGUAAUGCAUGAAAAACCCAAUGCACCAACAACCUUACAAAGAGAUCCUAUGAGUCUUAGGUCUUGAAAAACACUUAUCUUUAAGGUCUUCUUCUUCUUAUUGAUUUUAUCUUUGUGAUUGCCACUUUGGAAAUCAUCUUGCCUAGUCACACUUAAAAUAUAAUCAUUAGUUCUAAAUCUUGUUUUGUUAUCAUCAAAACUAAGAUUAACCAAACCUUGGUUUCACAAUAUGAAUAUUGUAUCUCUAGAUCUAUAGUUAAUAGUGGUUUUUAUAGUCAUUUGUUUCCAUUGCGAUAAAUUUAGAGAAGCUUAGGGAUAGAUGAAUGCACCCUAUGAGAUCUAGGGCAUAGGAAUGGAGUAAUCCGGGGUUCCUAACAUAGUUUAGGCUUGUGCUUCAUGGAGUGAUAACAAUUCUUCAAGCAUAGUUAUGCUUUAGAAAUUUGUUAUUGAUUGGUCCAAUUUUUAGACCAUCUUCAGCAACAAUCUUGUGUGCACCAUUGAUAUAAUCUUGUUAUACAAAAUAUGAUCUAUCACAUUUUUGGCAAGAACUUUCCACUGGUUUUGUGCAUGGUAAUGAUCAUGCAUGCAAACUUAACUAAGUUAUACACUAGAUGCCAAACUACUACAAUUCUUAUACACCUUCCCGUUUUGUGCAACUGAACAAUUCAACAUCAUAACACCAAAGUUCUUGCUUAGAUUUCCUACAGUGCUAAAAUUUUGAAAUGAUUAAUUUGUUUAUUUUUCUUUCAAUCCCAAGACCCACAUACAUCAUGUCAUGCCCUAAGACCCACUCUAAGGGCAUGACAAUCAUUUCACAUCUCAAGGUCGAAAGCUCAAAGUGUAAAUUGACCUUAACAUUCAUUUUGUAACUGGAAAAUUAUCAAUUACCAAAUUCAUAUUUAUAGUAGUAGAAUAAAAUUCUACAAGUUUCAAAUCUCAACUUUAAAGUUAACACAUCAACUAAAGUGUUAUUGUCCAAACAACUUCAAACUUAACAAUUCAAGCAAUCAUUAAAUUCUAACUUUCAAAAAAUAUUUUUUAAAAAUAAAGAUUUAACGAAAAGUCUUAGUAUUGCCAAAAUCUCAUCCUAACCUUCACUCCUAGCCUGAAUUAAGGUGCCUAAAAAAUUGUCAAUGAAAGGAAAUGAGAUCAACGCUCAAUAAGGAAUAUUAAUAAGGUUUCAUGGAUCAAACAUUUUUAAUUAUAAUUCCAAAUAGGAGAUAUAAUAUAUAAUCAUUUUCAUAAGAAAUUUUGAGUUUAAAUAUAAUAAUAUAUUGAAAACUUUUCAGCUAAACAUUUUCAUAUCUAUGUCAAAACAAUUUCAUAUCAAAUUCAAAUCAAAUAUAUACAAAAUAUUUUUACUUUGGUUAUCAAAUGUCACAUGGUGUCAAGUUAGGUGGGACUUUACAAAUUGGUGUCUAACCUCAAAUUUUUUCCUUUCAAGGUGGACGAAACCAAACACUACUAGUAUUAUUAACAUCUAACCAAAUCCCUAAAGGGUGAGAUCUAAAGCAAUUACAUUCUCCGCCAAGAAAUAUAAGGUCAACAAUUAUAACUCGUUGACUAGGGACAAAAAUAAACUAGAGUCAAACACCUUAUUUCAUUAAUUCAAACUUGCAAAACAAAAACAUCAUAUCUCCAUAAUUUUCAUUUUUUAUAAACAAAAGAAAUGUUCUAACAUAGUUUUUUCAUGAAAAAUAUAUAUUUGAUCCAUGCAUAAAAAUAAAAAUAAUUUUUUUAUUAUUCAAAAUAACAUAUAAAAAUAAAUAUGUUCUUUUGGCCAAAACAUGUAUUAAUUUUUCUUACCUCAAAGAAACACUCAAAGACCUUGAAGCAAUUAAUCCUAAAGAAUUUCACCCCAAAAAACAUAUUUCACACCUUACUAAAAAAAAAAAAACAAAACAAAAAAAUUACUAUUGAUUAUUUAUCUAAUAAUAGUUUUGUAUUUUAUAUCACCUAUAUUAUUUUUAACUUCCUAAUAAAUAACAAUUUAAUAAGCGAUUUUCCAAAUUUUUAAAAGUUAUGUUCUUUCCAAAAUUUAUUCAUAAUAUUCUAUUAUUAUUAUUAUUAAUUAAAUCUCUCAAAAAUAUGUUUUUUCUAUUUAUUGCAUUAAACUAUUAUUAUUAUUAUUCAAUUUCAAUUUGAUUAAUUGGUUUUUUCUUUUAAAUUCCUAAUUUAUAUAAGAUUCUUGUUUUGAAAAUCUUCCAUAUUUACUUAUUUGUUUAAAGUAAAUUUCUCCAAAACUUGUUCCUUUUGGUUAAACAAGUAUCUUUUCCUAUUAUUAUUAUUAUUAUUAUUAUCCCUAAUAUUAUAUUCAAAUAACUAAACAAUAAUAAUUUAAAUUAGUGAGUUUCCAAAUUUUUAUAAAACUCAUAUUCAUUCUAAAUCUUAUCAUAUAUAUCAAUUUCUUUUAUAUACUUAAAUUAAAUUAAAAAAUUUACUUAAAAAAUAUAUAUAUUAUAUUAUUACUUUCAACAUCCUUCUACCACCCAAACAAUUACUUCAAGUAAAAGUCAUAUAUCCUUAUUCUACUAACUAUCCUCUCUCUUGCAAUAGCACACUUAGGGAUGGCAAUGGGGUGGGUUCGGGAUGGAUCGCCCCUAUCCCAACUCCUCCCCAUUUAUUCAAAAUAAUUUUCAUCCUCGUCCCAUUUAAAAAAUUAAAUGAGGCAGGGCGAGUAUGAUAAAUUCUCAUAUUCGCCUCGCCCCGCCCCGUUUAACUCUUUUUUGAAUUUUUUUUUAAAAUUACUUUAAAAAUUUUUAAUUACAUUAAAAUAAAUAUAUUUUAUAAAUAAUUAAAUUAUUAUAUUUUUUAUAACUUAUUUUAUUAAAAAUAUUUUAUUAUUAUCUAUAUAUUAAAAAUAGUAAAAUAAAAAUUAAAUUAAAUUAAUUUUAUAUAUAAUUGGGGUGGGACGGGAUGAGGCAAUACCCAAACCUGCUCCGGGUUUUAAAAAAAAUUCUCAAACCUAUCCCAAACCCGUUUAUUAAAAUUAAAUCUCGUCUCAUUAGGGACGAGGCGAGUACCUGAAAAAACCUGCCUCAUUGCCAUCCCUAGGCAAACUUUCAUUUUUUUUUUUUUUUUUAUCUUUUUCCUCCUUAAGAUCAAUCCUAUUGUAAGCACCCUUUUUUUUUCUACCACAUCUUGUUGCAAGCAACCUUGUAAGUUUUUUUAAUUUAAAUUUUUUUUCCACUAUGGAGGCACGUACAACCAUAAAACCUCCUCUUUUUUUUAUUUUAUUUUUACAACUCUCAAAUCUCUCAACCUCCAUACUAUUAGGUUUUAUUCAUUUAUUUAUUAUUAUUAUUAUUAUUAUUAUUAUUCCAUAUCCAAAACUAUAAUUAAUUUUCUUUUAUAUUUUUUUAUUUUAGAUCUAUUAAUUUGAAUAUUCGAAAUUUUCUAAUCUUACUAAUAACUCUAAACGUUCAAAACUAAUUAAUGAAUAUAAAAUAUUAAUCUAAGGAUUAAAAUCUUAUAUAGAAAAUUGAUCUUUAAAUCCUAAACUCCCAAAUUUUCAACCUUACGUUGCCCUAUGUUGUCCAAUCUCUUAGAUCUCCAUGUAAAAGGGUUUUUUUUUUUAAUAGAGUAAAUAAGAAAAAUUUAAUUUAUACCUAAAAUUUUAAAAUGGAGAAAAAUCUUUCUACCCUUAUUAAUUUAAUUAAUUUUUUUAAAUUAUGUUUUUACCCUUGAAUUGGGUCUGGGCAUCACACAUCAUACUAAAAAGUUAUCAAUAACCAUCCUUUGAGGCACAUUAGCAUAAAUUUGCGACUUUAGUUGUGUUCUAGGUGCAAUUCUAUUAUGUUUAAUUGAAAAAUAACACCCAUAGCACAACCAAGCCUAAUUGACAGCAUUUGGGCAAAUAAAUGGUAAAUUUCUAAAAGUUCACCAAAAAAAAAAAAAAACAAAAAAGAUCAUAAAGGGCAUAUUUUUCAAGUCAACCUAGUUUUGGGAUAUUGCAAUCCAAUCUAAGAAUGCAAUAAUAGCUCUUUAAUUCAUAAUUUUAAAUUCACAAAAGAUAUCACCUAAAAUUACUAUAGGUUACCAAAACAUCAACAACAUAUAGAAAGCUUAGAAAUGCUUGGAACCUAUCGAAUUUUCACUUUUUAGGAAUAAAAAAAAAAUGAACUUUAAGGAUUUUAGGGUAAUACUUGCUUGAACCAUCUUUCAAUCCUUUUGUUGGCGGUGGGCCUUUUACCUAUAAGAACAGGAAUGAGAGGUGAAAAGGAGGGAGCCUUAUGAAAACGGAUCCCUAGGGCUUAAGAAGGGGUUUUCAAUUUUAGGGUUUGUCUGUUCACCAAGGAUGUGAAUGGGAAGAUGAGGUGAAGUUAAGAGAUUGGUGAAGCAAAGUGAGGGCAUGGUAGGGUUUGAAUAAGGGAAAGUCUACACUAUUAAUGAAGAUGAUAAUCUUUAGAAAGCAAAGCUAAGGUAAACUAGGGCUUUAACAACAAUUUUCGAUCUACACUAGUGAAGACGAUAUCUUCGAAAACCAAAGCUAAGGCAAGCUAGGGCUUUAAUAACGAAUUUCAAUCUACAAUGGUGAAGAUGAUAAUCUUCGAAAACCAAAUCUAUAAUGGUGAAGAUGAUUAAAAACUAAAUCUAUAUUGGUAAAGACGAUUGGAAAGCAAAUCUACACUAGUGAAGUCAACGAAACCAAAGGUAGGUAAAAAUAAUAAUAAUAAUAAUGCAUUCUUAGAUCCAAAUCACCAUUUCCAACAUGGUAUUUGGAUUUCCACCUUGUAUUUUUUGUUUUUAAUUUUUUCAAUAAUCAAGGACAUUUUAGGGAUUAUUAAGUGACAAUAUUCUUCAACUCAAUUUCCCACAUUAGUUAGGUGUAAGGCUCAAAUGUGAAACUCAUAUAGAUGUUAGGCCAAUCAUCAAACUCAUUUGCCUUGAAGCAUAAUUUCCCCUUUUUAAAAUAGUUGUUAAACAUCUAUCCCCAACACUUGUAACCCUUUGAAGUGCUUGUAUGUUAACCUUGUUUCCUUUUUCUCAUGAAACAUGGCUUAUUGAUUGUUGCAUUGAGUCAUUAUCAUUCACCAAAUCCAUGCAACUAUGAACUACCUUUCAAAUCCCUCGAACAUAAAUGGUAAUUCCAAAACAACUCAAGUAUAAUCUUUCCAAGCCCUUCAAAUGAUUUAAUUAAUUGAUGUUUGAAUAUACUUCAUAUAUUUUUUUAGAGCAAUUUUUUAGGCAUAUAACAUAAAUCUCUAAUUUCAUUUUAUUUUUUUUAUAAAAGGUUUUAUAUUUUAUAUUACAAUUUCCUCUCUUUUUUUUCAUCUAAAAAAAAAAACAUAAAACCUUCGUAAACGAGUUUUGUCACAAUCCCUUAACAGGUAAUCUAUUUUUAAAAAUUACUUUAACAUUUUUAGAUAUAUUGAUUCAGUCUAAUUUAAUUUUAAUAUUUUUUAUAAAAUAUUUUUAUUUUAUAUGAUUAUAAAUUAAUUACUAUUGAUUGCAUAUUAUAGAAUAUAUAUUCUAAAAUAUAUCCUAUUCACAAUAAUAUCAUAAGAUAUUAUAUCCAUAUCCUAACAUAUUAUAUACUUUUAUUUUGUGCAAUUAGCAACAGGGUGGAAGACGGCUUAGGCGGGAGACGGCUUAACGGAAAUGCCGUCUGCCAUGCGUGUCCCUUCCCUUAGUGAGUCUGAACAGCUCCAACAUUUCCGACACGCCCUUCUUCGCUUAGCUCUUAAGUAUUUUCGUCCCGUUUUCAUUAACCCCAUCACAUUUCGCCAUGUGGAUCUAAGCCUCAUGGUCCUUUCGUUCGUACGAUGAAUAUUCCCCCAAUUCCUUAUCUACACUAAACCUCCAUACUCGCCAUCUACUCAACCACUUCUCUACUCUAGAGUCUGGAUCCUUUAUCUCUGCACGUGUCUAUGGCUCUUCACCCCAGCAAGUAUGGCAUUACAAGGGCAAUAUCGUCAUUAAAGACCCAAAAGGCAAACGAAUGGCAUUAUCUCCCUUUUGGGUCUAUUCUAUUUAUAUUGUAAGUUUUUCGUGAUGACUUCUCUCAUAACAGCUAAAAACCACUCCAACAGAGCACACUUCACUUCUUCGUUUUUGUCUUUCCUCUUUUUUUUUUUUAGAGAAGCUGAGAAAGCCCAGCUCGCCCUCAACUCCCCGAUGGGUUUGAUGAAUGUUCUCAAAUUCUCAGCUGCAUGCUUUGAUCUUCUUGGUUGGUAUGUUGUCUACGCAUUUUCUCGUCAUUGGAAAAUUUUGGAAAAUGAAGUGGAAUUCUAUGUUUGAGGAGAAACUGGGAUUUGCUUUGAUUUCUCCAUGUUGGUUUUAUCCCUUUUGUUUGAAUUGUCCAGAUUCUUGUCAUUGAUUGUUAGUUAUUUGUUUGGAUUUCUACUUGCAGGCCUCUGUUUGCACUGGGUUAUCCUCUGUAAGUCUUGGUCUUACACCCCAAGAUAUGAUGGUUCAUUUACUCUUUUCUUGUUCUAUGAAUUCUUAGUUCAGUUACAUUUAUUGGGUUGGGAAACUGAAAAGGGAAAGGAUUAUUAGUUAUUAUCAUAAUAAUCAUCAAUAUCAUCUCGGUUCUUCACAGAUGUGCUUCAAUUCGGGCAAUUGAGACUAACUCAAUCUCAGACGUUCGGAAGUUGGUGGCGUAUUGGGUUCUAUUUUCCUUGAUUUCACUCUUUGAUCAUACUUUUGCCAAGCUCCUUGAAUGGUAAUUUUGCUCAACUUCAUUCUUUGCCCUUCAGGAAUUUGGAGUUGCUUUUUUCAGUUUUCUUCCUUGUGACAAUAAUCGAGAUGUUUAAUGUUCCAGGCCUCCAUGUAUUUUAUUUUCCUUCACUUCUCUGCUUUGAAAAAUGCCCACAAUCUGAUCAACAGAAAGGUUAUAACAUUUGAAAAAGAAAUGCUUUGUUUUGGUUUUUUAAGUGCAACAAUUUUCAUUUGGAGAAAUGAUCUAAAGGGUAUUGGUGUUUGGCCGAAUUCAUGGAAUUUUCUCGCUAAUUUGGGAUUUAUUCUCAAUUUCAAGAUCACUGUGGAUAUUUCAGAAAUUAAUGAAAUAUAUAUGAUGGAAUGUGAUUUUCUUGUUUAAGAAAAGUUUUUCUUUGAAAAUGUGGGUGACCCCAACCUACCUUAUUGUACUACUUGGAACACAAAACAAAAGUUUUUCUCGCUAAUUUAUUAACUAAAUUGCACACUUUUUGAUAGUUCAAGGAAGUGGUGUCAGCUUUGGAAAUAAGAUGGAUGAUUGUAGGGAACUUUAUUUCUCAUCUUUAUAGGGAACUUUCCAUAAUAUAGCUUAUAAAUAUCAUAAUCACAGUGAUGAAUGAUUGUCUUGUUUGAAAGCAUGGUUGCACUUAUUUCCAGGGAAUUUGUCUGCGUUGAAAUUAAAUUAAGCUUUAUGCAUCAUUUGGAUGCUGGGAAACAAAUGGAAAUAGAAAAUUCAGAAUCUGACAAGUUUGUGUAGGGCAACUGGAUCUAAUCUCUUAGUCGAAGCUUAAUAGGGGCAAAUGCUGAUCAUCUUUGAACCUAUUGAAGGCUCUAAUCUGUGCACAAUUCUAAUGUUUUUGUUUUCUUCAUUUCUUUUUCAACUUUUCAUAAUAGAUGUCAAAAGUUAAAACCGAACUUACGUAGUCCAUCCAAGUGGAUGCAUAUAAAUUUAACAGAAACUGAAAUUUGAAGAAAUUUAUUUUCCCUUUUGUAAAUGGUGUUUAAAAAGUCUGUGUGUAGUUUGGUUUUUUUCCUGGAAGAUCAGAUGAUUUCGUGAUCAUUUUUUCUAUUUGCCUUAUCAUCAUGAGAUUUAAGUAUUUUUUUUAAAAAAAUAUUUUAUUUUCUUAUAUAAUGCAUGUCAGGAUACCAUUCUGGCCUUACAUAAAGCUGAUGGUCAUCUGCUGGCUGGUGAUACCGCAUUUUGAUGGUUCCUAUUAUAUCUAUCAAUACCUAGUUCAUCCACGCUUGUCCAUGGAUCCACAAGUUGUCAUGAAUUGGCUCUUCAAUGAAUCAAAAAAGAAGUUUCAUAGCAGAGAAAACUUUCUUGUUUCAGCAGACCAAUAUAUUAAGGAGAAGGGACCUGAAGCUUUGGAGAAACUACUUGCAAGGAAGGUAUGCCAUUAUAAGUAGGAUUGUCAACAAGUCAAAUAGAGUUUUAUUUGAGAUGUUCAAGUAAAAAAUUACUAUAGCAGGUCAUCUAGAAUUAUUGGUCUAAAUUCAUGUAUAUAUCUAUAUAUAAUUGUGUUCUCUUUUUUUCACAUAUGCAUGUGCAUUUAGAUUUACGUAAUUAUAUAUGCAUAAUCAGAUUCAACUGUGAUAGCCCAGGAUUUAAUUCAGUAAUCAACUCUUCUGGGAACAUGUUGGUUAUGGUUUCUCUCUCACUGUCCUCUUAUUUAUACAUGACUUUGGCUUCAGUUGAGGAGCACAAAGCCUAAUGUUGAAGUGAAAGAGAUCAAAGGACCUGCAGCACCGGAGAAAAAAGGGGAACAGGUAUGCACUCUACUAUUUUAUUUCUAUGGAGGCAGAUCUCCAGAGAAAUGUUGCUCAUGUAAAUUAGUGAUGCAUUUAAAAGAAAAACCACUUUAUGUAUGUUUCUGUGAAAAAGAGAACAAGUUUAUGGAUUAAGUGAUAUUUUUUAUGGUGAAAUAAUCAAUAAUUUUCAAAAUAAUAAUAUAUUCGUGCAUGUUUUUGCAAUUCAUGAAUUCCUUUUACGAUUGAUUCUUCUCACCUCAGUGGAAGUGUGAAGAGCCUAAUGUUGCAGAAAAGGAGAUCCAAGUAGUCAAAGUAACAGACAUAAAAAAUGGGGGGGAUGGAGCAAAGAGGGUAAGUUUUCCUUUUUAUUUAUAAGGAAGGCUGUCUUCACGCAAGGAUUAUUGUUAUUAUUUUUAAGACAUGAAUGUUGAAUGCAUUUGGAAUUGUCGUUGAAUCAUGUGAAGUGUGAAGGUGCAAAUGGUGCUAAGAAGGAGAUCAAAGUGAUGGAAGUAACACAGAGAACAUUUGGUGAUACAGCACAGUGGGUAAGGUUUCUUGUCAUACUUAAAUGGCACCUCAUAUUUCACUAGGAUUAAUUUUGGCCUACAAACAUAUUUGGCUACAAGUUGAAGACAGCUUUCCAGAUACUGGUAAAAGUUGAGACAUAAGUAAUGAAUGAGUUUAGAAACAUGCACAACUCUUGUGUGAAACACAAUGAGAGUGGAAAAUAGCUAAGUUGAAAAAUGGCCAAAUACUAUUUUGUAGUUCACCCCACCACUUAAGUAAUUUUUGUCAUCCUUUGUGAAUGGAAAAUGCAGUCCCUUCAGUAAUUCUGCAUAUAACCAUUAGUGUCUUGUCCUAAGUUGACCUUUAAUGAUGGUCCAUUGAGAGGGAUCUGACUUUUGUCAACCCUCUUAUUCCUUUGAUCAUAGAGGUUAAACAUACGGGGCUUAACCCACUUUUCAAUCUCAUUGGAUAUAUGGCAUGUGGUAUCCUCUUCAUCUUGAAAGAGUGAAGUGGUCAUACUCUUUCCUGAGUCCAUCGUGGCCAUGCACUUCUGGCUCAUUGGGCAGAGUGAAAGGAUUCCCUUCUGCUUCAAAUCAUAGAGAGAUAUGCCAUGGUCAGCCUCUUUAAUUUGAAGGAUUGAAGUACUCAAAUCGAUUUCUUUGCAUCCAUCUUAGUCCUGCUUUCAUGUCUCAUGGUUAACCAGGAAGAUCAAGCUUCCAUCCAUGAGAUCAGCAUCUGCAGGGUUAUGACACCACCCUUCCUUGGCAUAGGAAAGCGAUCAUUAAGCCACAUGUCGGAUGACAGAAGUCGUCAUUCAGGUUAUCUUGCGAACUAGGGAAGUUGGAAUUCUAAUUAUUGCAUAUGGUUCUUGAUGUUUAGCCAAUAUACUAUAGGAUUUUAAGCAUCCUGCCCAUGUGCAUUGUGGUUUUUUAUCAGCUAUAUGGUUUACCAAACUGAGGGAUUGAUUAUAGUCAUAAGUACCCUUUUCCCAUUAAUUUCUUGCAUGUGCUUUGCUGAGAUUAUGUUUUUGACAGUGCUAAUCAGGGCAAACCAACAAACAGCUUUAUGUUAACUUUUACAAACUGCCACAUUUUCAGGUUGAACGAUCAGAGAUAAAUCUUGGUGAAACUAGAAGUAAUACAAC